GACGAACGCUGGCGGCGUGCUUAACACAUGCAAGUCGAACGAUGAACCGGAGCUUGCUCUGGGGAUUAGUGGCGAACGGGUGAGUAACACGUGGGCACCCUGCCCCAGACACCGGGAUCACCAUCCGACAGGAUGGCUAAUACCGGACACGACCACUUCGCGCAUCCGAUGGGGGUCGAAAGGAUUCUGGUCUGGGAUGGGCCCGCGGCCUAUCAGCUUGUUGGUGGGGUAAUGGCCUACCAAGGCGACGACGGGUAGCCGGCCUGAGAGGGCGACCGGCCACACUGGGACUGAGACACGGCCCAGACUCCUACGGGAGGCAGCAGUGGGGAAUAUUGCGCAAGGGGCGAAAGCCUGACGCAGCGACGCCGCGUGAGGGACGAAGGUCUUCGGAUUGUAAACCUCUUUCAGCAGGGAUGAAGCGAAAGUGACAGUACCUGCAGAAGAAGCACCGGCUAACUACGUGCCAGCCGCCGCGGUAAAAC
rnacentral:rRNA from 1 species